GACGAGGGGGGCAAGCGUUAUUCGGAAUCACUGGGCGUAAAGGGCGCGUAGGCGGCAUAAUAAGUUAGUUGUUUAAGACCACAGCCUAACUGUGGAAGUGCAACUAAAACUAAUUAAUGCUAGAGGAUGGGAGAGAAGAGUGGAAUUCUCGGAGUAGCGGUAAAAUGCGUGGAUCUCGAGAGGAACACCGAUAGCGAAGGCAGCUCUUUGGAACAUUCCUGACGCUGAGGCGCGAAGGCAUGGGGAGCAAACAGG
rnacentral:rRNA from 1 species